GAGGGGGAUAACACUUGGAAACAGGUGCUAAUACCGCAUAACCAUAGUUACCGCAUGGUAACUAUGUAAAAGGUGGCUAUGCUACCGCUUUUGGAUGGGCCCGCGGCGCAUUAGCUAGUUGGUGGGGUAAAGGCUUACCAAGGCAAUGAUGCGUAGCCGAACUGAGAGGUUGAUCGGCCACAUUGGGACUGAGACACGGCCCAAACUCCUACGGGUGGCAGCAGUAGGGAAUCUUCCACAAUGGGCGAAAGCCUGAUGGAGCAACGCCGCGUGGGUGAAGAAGGUCUUCGGAUCGUAAAACCCUGUUGUUAGAGAAGAAAGUGCGUGAGAGUAACUGUUCACGUUUCGACGGUAUCUAACCAGAAAGCCACGGCUAACUACGUGCCAGCAGCCGCGGUAAUACGUAGGUGGCAAGCGUUAUCCGGAUUUAUUGGGCGUAAAGGGAACGCAGGCGGUCUUUUAAGUCUGAUGUGAAAGCCUUCGGCUUAACCGGAGUAGUGCAUUGGAAACUGGGAGACUUGAGUGCAGAAGAGGAGAGUGGAACUCCAUGUGUAGCGGUGAAAUGCGUAGAUAUAUGGAAGAACACCAGUGGCGAAAGCGGCUCUCUGGUCUGUAACUGACGCUGAGGUUCGAAAGCGUGGGUAGCAAACAGGAUUAGAUACCCUGGUAGUCCACGCCGUAAACGAUGAAUGCUAAGUGUUGGAGGGUUUCCGCCCUUCAGUGCUGCAG
rnacentral:rRNA from 1 species